rnacentral:lncRNA from 1 species
CCUGUUAGAACCAGUGGCGUUCCUUGGUGUGGCAAACCCAUUCCUGAAGCCAAACUUCCUCCUCAGGACAUCUCAGCAUUCACAAGAUGAUCAGCCCAGGGGCCUGGUGUCUGUUUGGAAGAGAUGCUCCAUUCCCUGGAGUCUGUCAGAGCUGAGGAAGUGGUGGAACAUGGACAGAUGGACAUACAAACGGAUGGACAGAUAGACAGACAGACAGAUGGGCAGGCUGGAGGAGAGACAGACAUAUCCAUCUGGCAAUCUUCCGCUUUGACAAAGUGGAUGAAACAAUUAUCUCCGUUAUCGGCCAAAGCGGUAGACAUGCGAGAGUUGGGGGAUUUCUGCAGGUGGACAGCCUUGGCUAGGAAUCAACACCAAUGGUGAAACGUGCCCAGGAAUGGCUCCCACCUCUCUCUCGCUUGUGACUAUGAGCAUCUGAAGAUGGAUUGUGCAUCCCGACGAGCACGGUUCCGUGAAGAACAAAAAUCAUAGGUCGGAGGUUCAUUAAUCAGUGAGAUUCUCUUUGCAAACACCACCUGAAUGAGUAGUCCCUGUUUUUGGAGAGAUUUUUAAACAAUGAUGACAGUCUGCACCAUGGCAUUGUCCAAUGUGGUUCAUCAGAAAUGGGUCCUUCAUAUAAAUCUGCUCGUGAGUAAACUAAAAAAUGACUACAUCCUAUCAAUUGGCAUAGAUGCAUAUACAGAAGCUGUUCGUGGAGACUUCAAUAAGCAACGCAUUCAGUCUCUGCCUUCACUAUGUACUGGAAAGUAAAGGGGACAGCUCUGUUAGACAACACCUUGUAUGCACCCUGAAGGCAGCCAUGGGUUAAGGUGCAGUUAGAGGUUCGUGGGCAAGGCAAGAAUUGCGGCUCAUCGGGUUAAAG